UGGCUUUAGCCGCCAGGCAGAGCACACUGCCGGGGCAGUUUCGUGCUGCUGCUGCGGGCCGGGAUGAAGCCUGCGAGGUGCUGACAGCGCCUUUGUCUGGCGGGGAAAGCGGGCAGGGCUGAACCUGAGCGGUGCCCCUGCCUCUGGGCUGGGGUGUUCUGGUUCUCCCUCUUCCUCCAGUGCUCUCCAUUUGAGGUGGGGCCUGGAGGGAAAAUCCCACGCUCGCCUCACGGGUGCCGUGCCCUGCCGGGCCGCUGGGCCCCAGGGAUAAUGCACCUCUGGCUGUGGGGGCUGCGGCUCUUCUCGGGUCACAGGAUGCUCUCCUGCACCAGGAUGAGCUCUAGGAAAGUCAGAGAUGGGGGACAAUGAAGGAGGGAUGAGGAGGACCAGAAUUCUAUCACCAACUUCUCAUUUUGCAUCACACUUCAGUAUCUUUGCCCAUCAAACUGCUUUUCAUCCUGAAAACAAGAUGCAGCCCAGUACUACUUAGAUUAAUUCUUAUUCAUCUGAUCAUAAAAAUACAAGAAGAUAAAGAAAACUUACAACUGAAUUACAUGUGACAAGUUCUUUAAUUCGAACCAUUACUUCCUGUGUGAAUGUUCCUGGCCAGAACACUUGGGAGACGAGUCCUUUGGCACAAGCUUCCUGCGCCGUCAACUUCCUUCCACUGAACAACAUUUCAUUGGCCUGAAGGGAUAAAAAGUUACUUCUGGUAUGAAAUGUAAUGAGACAAAACUCAUCAAAGGAAAAAUGUUGAAAACAAAUAAGAAAAAUGCCUGCACUGUUUCAAAUAGUUUUA